UCUGUGUGUUUUACCUCCGGGCACGCUGUACCAGGCCCCUCCCUAGGUGAAGCUAGUGUCUGUCUGUGUGUUUUACCUCCGGGCACGCUGUACCAGGCCCCUCCAUUGGUGAAGCUAGUGUCCGUAGGUGAAGCUAGUGUCUGUCUGUGUGUUUUACCUCCGGGCACGCUGUACCAGGCCCCUCCAUUGGUGAAGCUAGUGUC